AAUACCUGGCGAAGUAUGGGGAGAGGGUGUCUUGGAUCCACCAGUUGCCCUGUCGUGCCUGGUCCCUCCCCGCGCCUCUUUUCACCGCUGAGAGCCCCACCACCUACCCUAGGUCUCCCUUCAUCAACUAAAUCACCAAGUCCUGUGGAUUCCUCCUCCUGACGUUCCCUCAACUCUUGACCAGGAUAAGAAUCGUUGCUACAGUCCACUCCUUCAAUUAUGGUCCACUUCUUCAAUUUUCCAGAGGACAAAAAUGAGGCAUAUAAAGGCCCAGAGAGGGGAAGCCAGGUACCUAAGGUCACAUAGCAAGUUAAAACAGAGGGAAAAGGCUGCAGAUCAGGCCCUGAGACUGAGGACCUCUUGGGACUUGGGUGGGAGUUAUCUGACUGACAAACAGAUGUCGUGCCGCUGUUUACUCCAUCUCCUUCCUGGAAUCCAGACCCAAAUGACAAAAAGGUCCACUGGAGGGCCCCAACUGGUCAUCUCUCAGGCACUUCAAAUUCCAUCUGUCCCCAUGAACUCACUCUGUGCCCCACCCAUUUCACACAGUUCACCUUAGUUCAGUACCAGGUGCCACCACCCACUGGGUUCCUAUGUUCAAAGCCAGGUGCCACCCUCGGCUCCUCCCUCCCCUUCAUCCAGUCACACACCAAGUCCUAAUUCUGCCUCUUCAGCACCUCUGGAAUGUGUCUGCUUCUCUGUGCUUCUGCUGUCAUGCCCAGGUCCCAACCUUCACUUUCCCAACUGCCCCCUGCCAUGGCCUUCUAUCUGGUCCCUUUGCCUCCAGAUACACCCUUGCCAACCUCAUCUCCAUGCAGCAGCCAGGGUGACUUUGUAAAACACAGGUGUUCCCCGAGUAAAACCUUGAUUUCGCCUUUAAGGCCAAAAUGACUGGUCCCUCACCUUCCUCCUCACUUCACCUAAUUCUUAUGCAAACUUCAAGUCUCAGGUGAAUGGCAUUUUCUCUGGGAAGCCUUCCCAGAUGCUCUCUAACCCCCACCCCACCCUACUCCACACAAGCCCCACACCUGCACCCACCUUGGUCUUGCCCUGCAGACUCUUGAUGGCAGCCUCGGCACAGAGAUAGAAAGCGCCGAUGCACUGAGCCUCCAAGCGCGACGAGUCGAGCAGUGGCACGAGGCGCUGCAGGUCGUCUGGCCCGCGGCCCUGGCUGGUGUCGCUGGCAUCCACCAGGCAGCGGGCGAAGCGGCCGGGGUCCAGCGAGGCCACGAGCGGCUCUACGAGGGCCAGCGUGCCGGAGCGCUCCACCUCGCGCUCCACCUCCUUGUUGGUGGCUAGCACCGCCACGGCGAGGCAGGCGUGCAGUCGCAGCAGCUCGUCCUCCUUGGAGAAGGCGAGUGGGAAGAGCCACUCGGCGGCGCGCUUCUCCACCAUGCGCCGCUGCACCGCCUGGCCCCCGUGCAGCGCACAGUUGGCUAGCGCCAGCGCACAGUGGCGGAGCAGCGCCGGGUCUGUGCGGCGGCACCAAUAGAGCACCGCGUCCAGGCCGCCGGCUGCCACCAGCCGCUGGCACGUCUCCUCCGAGUGCUUGAACAUGUGCUCCAAGAUGCCUGCCACGCUCCGAGCCAGCUCCACUGGCUCGCGCUCCUUUGCCAGGUUCAGGAUCACGCCUAGCCCGAUGCGCGCCACGCGGUCCCUGCCAAGAUGCUUAUCUUAGCCUCCUAGGAGCAAUGGCCUCAUCACUCAUCCUCUCUGGGCCUUGCUAGUGUCAUAUAAUGUCAUGAGUCUGGUCCUCCCUGCCUCCCCCGCCUCCCUCACCUCCUGCCCUGGGAGAACCAGACUUCUCUGCUUAUAAGGGUACUCCAUCCUGGCCACACCCAUUUCCACUCUGACACCCAUCCCUGGAGGAGCAGUAUAUGUAGUGGCUAAGAAUUCUACCUCUAGAGCAGAUUCCCUGGGUCCUGGUUUCUUCUCUACCAUUUUCUAGCUGUGAGAUCUUAGGUACCUUUAUCUUUCUUGGUUUCCUCAUCUCGUAAAUAGGAUAAAAAGAAUACCUACCCCAUAGGGUUAUUAUGAAGUUUAUAAUCCAUGUAAAGUGCUUGGCACAGUGCCUGGCACAUAAAAAAGACUCAAUAAAUGUCAGCUUUUCAUCUCUGAAGUGCCACUUGAAGUACACCACUCUUGGCCUUGCCUUCAAACUUCUCUUCACUCCAUGCAGUGUUAUUGGAGUGUAUUUGUCCAUUCAUUUAAGAGGUCAUUUAUUGAGGGCCUACUGUGUGCCAGGCACUGUGGUAGAGGCUGAAGUUAAACAGUGACUAAGAGUGGCCGGAGCUCAUACACAGCUAACAUAGAGCAAGUAAAUGAUGAAUGGACAGGAUAAUAGUUAUAUGACCAUAAUGAUAGUAAAACCAGGUGAUGUAAUGGAGAGAGCCUGGAUGGAGGGAUAUGUCUGAGGAGGUGACGUCUGAGAGUUAAACAUCCAGAGACCCCUGCCUGCAAGUAUCUGGAAAAAGAGCACAACAGGCAGAGAGAAAAAGGACAAACGCCCCGUGGGCUGAUGAGCUUGGCAUGUUUGGGGAAGAGAAAGAAAGCCAAAGAUAUCUGCAGUGUCUAAAAUCAACAAGGGAUUCAUAUAUUGAAUAUUUAUAAAAAAAUUCAAGUCAACAAGAAAAAGGCAGUAAAUUUAAUGGAAGAGGGGCAGUGGACACAAUAAAUGCAGUUCAUAAAAGAUGAAAACCACAGUGCUAACAAGCAAAUAAGAGAUGCUCUAAUUCAUUAGUAAUCAGAGAAAUAAAAAUUAAAACAGCUAUCACUUUACACUUAGUAGAUGGGCAAAAAGCAGAAACUGGGUAAUACAGGAAGUUGGUGGUGUGUGGGGCCAUGAACACCCUGAAGCCCUGUGGGUGGAGGUGUAGGCUGGGGCGUGUGGGUGAAAUUAAGGAGACAGAAACUCUAUGAACCACAAAUGAGGGCUCUUGGGUUUAUAUCCCAAAGAGAUUGUCACACAGCUCCACAAGAGGACAUGGACAAGUCCAUUCAUUGCAGUGUUAUUUGUGGUGGGGGAAGCUGGGGCAGUCCAGUGUCAAGCCUGGGAGAGUGGAGAGGUAACACAGGCAGGUGCCCACUCUGGAGCACUUACAAGUGACUGAGCAGAUGAUAACAUAGCAACAAGGAGGAUCUUAAAAACAACACUAUUUUAAAGCAAGAAAUAGAAUGUGUUAUAUAACACAGCACCAUUUGUGUACAAUAAGAAUCUGCACAUAAAACAGGAGUAGAGAUUUUACCAGAACACAGUAAACAUUAAACAGAUACACAUUAAACAUAUUGGAUGGUUGCCCAUGGGAUUAAGUUAGAAAGAUAGUGGGACAUCAGUCAAGAGGAGAAAGAGAGACUGCAUUCUAGGCAUAGAUGUAUGCAAAGACUUGGAGGUGUCUGGUGUACUUGGGGACUGUCCCCAUCUCAGCCAUGCUGAAGUGAAGCUACUCCAAGUGGCUGAGGUGGAAGGUUCAAAGGAAGAAUGAGCACAGUGUUCUGGGGGCCUUUUGAGCCAUCUCAAAGCAUUUGUACUUUAUUUUGAUGGCAAAUGGGGAGCCAUUUUCAGGAAGGAGAGUGACUUAGUAACAUGUGGGUUUUAGGAAACUUGUGCUGGCUGCUGUGGGGAGGACAGAUCCACGGGAGAGAGGCUGGAGACCAGCAGAGCAGGCAGGAGAGUUGCCACAUUCCUGGCAGAGGUGAAAGUGUCCUGUCUUCCUGACCUCCACAAAUGAUGUCCUCCACAGAUGAUGUUACCCACAAAGACUUACAGGCCCAGCCAGUCAUGGAGUCCUCGCCCAGUGAGCAUCACAGUGCUUGUGACUCUGUGUCCACUGCAGGGCCUAUCUGAGCCCAGAACAUGGCCUGAGGCCAGUACAGCUUUGCUGAGCUGAUCACUGAGCUUCUCUCCAGCCCAAAGGAACAGAUGGAUCCUAACCAUCCACUUGGGCAGCUGGCACUGCAGUUGUUCCUUUACCCAGGGAGAAAGCCAAAGCUCAAGAGAGGUUACAUGACAUGCCCAGGGUUACACAGCUGGUGAGAGACAGAGCUGGGAUUUGAAUUCAUAUCAGUCCAUUCCCAGGGCUCAAGAUCAUUUGUUGGCACUGUUUGCUUCCAGAACUAUCUGACUACAUAAGCUCUGAAACUAUCGGAACUAGGAUGUGCUUAAGACAUCAUCUAAUCCAACACCACCUUCGUUUCCUGAGGCCCAUUGAGGGGAAGGGCACGUUCAGGAACAUCAGUUUAGAGAGAGGACUUUAUUCUGCAUUUUUGAGCCCCAGCCCUCACCUUCCCCUAUGCACCUGGCACCUUUAAGAGUUAACUCUGCUUAUUGUGAGACUUAUUCACUUAAUUCCCAAUUCUUCUGCAGCCUGAGAAGCUGUGGGUCUGGGUUCAAAUCCCAGCUCCAAAGGAGGGGUAAAUUGUGCACAUACACACACAUACAAGCCUGUAUAUAUUAUAUAUAUAUGUAUCUGUAUAUGCAUAGACUUUCUGGAAAGAUAUACAAGAAACUUGUUUCACUGGUUUGCCUCUAGGGAUGGGAAGAAAAACUUUAAAGGUGUAUGCUUUUUGUACCUUGGCACUUGAAUUUAUGUGCAAUAGUUUUUUUGG